rnacentral:rRNA from 1 species
GACGAAGGAUGCAAGCGUUAUCCGGAUUCAUUGGGUUUAAAGGGUGCGUAGGCGGCCAGAUAAGUCAGUGGUGAAAUCCUGUUGCUUAACAACAGAACUGCCAUUGAUACUGUUUGGCUUGAGUAUAGUUGCUGUGGGCGGAAUAUGACAUGUAGUGGUGAAAUACAUAGAGAUGUCAUAGAACACCGAUUGCGAAGGCAGCUCACAAAACUAUAACUGACGCUGAGGCACGAAGUGCGGGGAUCAAAACAGG